GACGAACGCUGGCGGCGUGCCUAAUACAUGCAAGUUGAGCGAUGAAGAUUGGUGCUUGCACCAAUUUGAAGAGCAGCGAACGGGUGAGUAACGCGUGGGGAAUCUGCCUUUGAGCGGGGGACAACAUUUGGAAACGAAUGCUAAUACCGCAUAACAACUUUAAACAUAAGUUUUAAGUUUGAAAGAUGCAAUUGCAUCACUCAAAGAUGAUCCCGCGUUGUAUUAGCUAGUUGGUGAGGUAAAGGCUCACCAAGGCGAUGAUACAUAGCCGACCUGAGAGGGUGGGUAGCCACACUGAGACUGAGACAGGGCACAUACGCCUUCAGGUGGGAGCAGGAGGGAAUCGUCGGCAAUGGGCGGAAGUCAGAGCGCGCAACGCGGAGGGAGGGAAGAAGGUUGUCGGAUCGGAGAAGUCUGUUGGUAGGGAAGAACGUGGGUGAGAGUGGAACGCUCAGCAAGUGACGGUAACUACCCAGAAAGGGACGGCUAACUACGUG
rnacentral:rRNA from 1 species